CGCUGGCGGCGUGCCUAAUACAUGCAAGUCGAGCGGAAUGAAGAAGAAGCUUGCUUCUUCUGAUUUUAGCGGCGGACGGGUGAGUAACACGUGGGCAACCUACCUUGUAGAUUGGGAUAACUCCGGGAAACCGGGGCUAAUACCGAAUAAUCCAUUUUGCUUCAUGGCGAGAUGUUGAAAGACGGUUUCGGCUGUCACUACAAGAUGGGCCCGCGGCGCAUUAGCUAGUUGGUAGGGUAAUGGCCUACCAAGGCGACGAUGCGUAGCCGACCUGAGAGGGUGAUCGGCCACACUGGGACUGAGACACGGCCCAGACUCCUACGGGAGGCAGCAGUAGGGAAUCUUCCACAAUGGACGAAAGUCUGAUGGAGCAACGCCGCGUGAGUGAAGAAGGUUUUCGGAUCGUAAAACUCUGUUGUAAGGGAAGAACACGUACGAGAGUAACUGCUCGUACCUUGACGGUACCUUAUUAGAAAGCCACGGCUAACUACGUG
rnacentral:rRNA from 1 species